AUACGGAGGAUCCGAGCGUUAUCCGGAUUUAUUGGGUUUAAAGGGAGCGUAGGCGGACGCUUAAGUCAGUUGUGAAAGUUUGCGGCUCAACCGUAAAAUUGCAGUUGAUACUGGGUGUCUUGAGUACAGUAGAGGCAGGCGGGAUUCGUGGUGUAGGGGUGAAAUGCUUAGAUAUCACGAAGAACUCCGAUUGCGAAGGCAGCUUGCUGGACUGUAACUGACGCUGAUGCUCGAAAGUGUGGGUAUCAAACAGGAUUAGAUACCCUGGUAGUCCACACAGUAAACGAUGAAUACUCGCUGUUUGCGAUAUACAGUAAGCGGCCAAGCGAAAGCGUUAAGUAUUCCACCUGGGGAGUACGCCGGCAACGGUGAAACUCAAAGGAAUUGACGGGG
rnacentral:rRNA from 1 species